AAUCUAGGCAACAAAAUAAAUAGAACAGAGACUGGAAGACGUGAUGCUUCCUGGGAGAACAUGUGCCCGUAAGGAUCGAUCUCAUGGGAUUCUUAGCAUCAAGCAAAGAACUUGUAAUACGCUGAAUGCUGCAUAGAAGGUUUUGAAACUACUUACCUGCUGUGGAACACCUGUAUAACUUUAAAAUGCAUCAAUCAAUCUCGAGAGUAUGAUCAUGCUUCCUGCUUUUAAGGAUCUGAAGUUAACUGCAACUCCAAGUAUACAAGACUUCUUUGGGACCCAUGGAAGCAUCUCUACAUGCUCAUGUUUGCCAGAUUCAGUGGCCUCCUGAAACCUGGCCCUAGCUAAUAAGUUAAAAAGCUCUAAGUAAUCCCGAGCUGCAUUUGAAUCUCCAAGAUCACUUGUUCAUGGGUUGGUAAUACUUUAAAGAGCCAUUUGUUUAACUGCUAAUCUGGAUCUUAUAUUCUGAGCCCCAGCUUUUUUCUAAAGCAAAGAAAAUACAAAAUAAAAGUAAGACCAAAUGCCUUUGUACCAUGGAGAGAGAAAUGACUCAUUGGAAUGCUUCUGUUUUUC
rnacentral:lncRNA from 1 species